UAUAUUCAGGCCCCUUCUAGAAAAUAGGAAUUUACUUUUUGCUCAAGACCCUCCUGGAAAAUAGGAAUUUAAUUUUUGCUCAAGACCCUCCUGGAAAAUAGGAAUUUACUUUCUGCUCAGGACCCUUCUGGAAAAUAGGAAUUACUUUCUGUUCCGGACCCCAUGGAAAAUGAGAAUUUACUUUAUGUUCAAGACCCUCCUGGAAAAUUGGAAAUUACUUUAUGUUCAGGACCCUCCUGGAAAAUGGGAAUUUACACUAUGUUUAGGAUCCUCCUGCAAAAUGGAAAUUUACUUUCUGCUCAAGA
rnacentral:lncRNA from 1 species